CAGCCGCCGCGGUAAUACGAAGGGUGCAAGCGUUACUCGGAAUUACUGGGCGUAUAGCGUGCGUAGGUGGUGGUUUAAGUCCGUUGUGAAAGCCCUGGGCUCAACCUGGGAAUUGCAGUGGAUACUGGGUCACUAGAGUGUGGUAGAGGAUAGUGGAAUUUCCGGUGUAGCAGUGAAAUGCGUAGAGAUCGGAAGGAACAUCUGUGGCGAAGGCGACUAUCUGGGCCAACACUGACACUGAGGCACGAAAGCGUGGGGAGCAAACAGGAUUAGAUACCCCGUGUAGUCCUGUCUCUUAUAC
rnacentral:rRNA from 1 species